AUACGUAGGGAGCGAGCGUUGUCCGGAAUUACUGGGUGUAAAGGGUGCGUAGGCGGGACUGCAAGUCAGAUGUGAAAUGCCGGGGCUCAACCCCGGAGCUGCAUUUGAAACUGUGGUUCUUGAGUGAGGUAGAGGUAAGCGGAAUUCCUAGUGUAGCGGUGAAAUGCGUAGAUAUUAGGAGGAACAUCGGUGGCGAAGGCGGCUUACUGGGCCUUUACUGACGCUGAGGCACGAAAGCGUGGGGAGCAAACAGGAUUAGAUACCCUGGUAGUCCACGCUGUAAACGAUGACUGCU
rnacentral:rRNA from 1 species